CGUAACAAGGUUUCCGUAGGUGAACCUGCGGAAGGAUCAUUACCGAGUGCGGGCUGCCUCCGGGCGCCCAACCUCCCACCCGUGACUACCUAACACUGUUGCUUCGGCGGGGAGCCCUCUCGGGGGCGAGCCGCCGGGGACUACUGAACUUCAUGCCUGAGAGUGAUGCAGUCUGAGUCUGAAUAUAAAAUCAGUCAAAACUUUCAACAAUGGAUCUCUUGGUUCCGGCAUCGAUGAAGAACGCAGCGAACUGCGAUAAGUAAUGUGAAUUGCAGAAUUCAGUGAAUCAUCGAGUCUUUGAACGCACAUUGCGCCCCCUGGCAUUCCGGGGGGCAUGCCUGUCCGAGCGUCAUUGCUGCCCAUCAAGCCCGGCUUGUGUGUUGGGUCGUCGUCCCCCCCGGGGGACGGGCCCGAAAGGCAGCGGCGGCACCGUGUCCGGUCCUCGAGCGUAUGGGGCUUUGUCACCCGCUCGAUUAGGGCCGGCCGGGCGCCAGCCGACGUCUCCAACCAUUUUUUUCAGGUUGACCUCGGAUCAGGUAGGGAUACCCGCUGAACUUAAGCAUAUCAAUAAGCGGAGGAAAAGAAACCAACCGGGAUUGCCCCAGUAACGGCGAGUGAAGCGGCAAGAGCUCAAAUUUGAAAUCUGGCCCCUCCGGGGUCCGAGUUGUAAUUUGCAGAGGAUGCUUCGGGUGCGGCCCCUGUCUAAGUGCCCUGGAACGGGCCGUCAGAGAGGGUGAGAAUCCCGUCUUGGGCAGGGUGC
rnacentral:misc_RNA from 1 species